rnacentral:lncRNA from 10 species
GCGAGGCAUGGUGGCUCAAGCCUGUAAUCCCAACACUUUGGGAGGCUAAGGUGGGAGGAUUGCUUGAGCCCAGUAGUUCAAGACCAGCCUGGGCAACAUGGAGAAACCCUGUCUCAAUACAAAAAAAUGAGCCAUGUGUGGUGGUGCGUGCCUGUAGUCCCAGCCAUUCUGGAGGCUGAGGUGGGAGGAUGACUUGAGCCUAGGCAGUCAAGGCUGCAGUGAGCCCUGAUCUUGCCACUGCACUCCAGUCUGGGCAACAGAGCAAGACCCUGUGUCAAUAUACAUAUGGACAAACUUAAAAUUUAAAAUGAAAGCAUACUACUGAUACAGAAUUGAGUAGAGAUGCAAAGCUAGUCCUAUAACCAGAACAAUAAAGAUAAAAAGGAGAGUGGAAGAAGGUAUGUCAUGAAUUUCAUGAUAAAUGGCAAUUGCAAAUAUCCUGUAGCAGAACAAAACAACAAAACUGUAGAUAAAACAUAUCCAACCCUUUGGAAGGCCAAGGAGGGAGGAUUGUUUGAGCCCAGAAGUUGGAGACCAGCCUGGGCAACAUAGUGAGACCCUGUAUCUAAAAAGGAAGAAAGAAAAAAAAAAAAAGGAUGAUAAAGUAGACAAUAUUGAAAGCCAUUUUCUGCAAAUACAUAGUGAAUUUGAUCAGUAAUUUUCUUCCAACAGUGCAAAAAUGAAUAGAUAUUAGUUGCCUGAAAUAAAAAUCAAAUAUCCAACAAAAAAUAUUGACUAUCUAAUAGUAUCUAAGCUAGUAAAUUUGGCCAGUUAUAAAAUGUCUUAAAUUUUUAUUUAAAAAAAGAAAACCAUAUUUAUAAGAAGAGGUGAUAAAGAGAAAUUAUUUCAGUUAUGAAGAUUUUGUUAGAAAACUAUGAGAAAAAAACUAUUUUUUGUUUUCAAAAAGUGAAAGAUUAAGUUACCAAACAGUUGCUAAAGAAUACCAGAUGGCUGAGCGUGGUGACUUAUGCCUGUAAUCCCAGUACUUUGGAAGGCCAAGGCAGGAGGAUCAUUUUAGGCCUGGAGUUCGAGACCAGCCUGGGCACUGUAGCAAGACCCGUCUCUAUUAAAAAAAAAAAAAAAAAAAAAAAAGAAUACAAGACCUUGCUAACAAUAGCAAAGAUCAAUUAAUUCAAAAUUUGAAAAACUGUAAUUUAUUUAGCUUUAGAGUACUCUCGUGAUAUGAGAUUGCCAAAUUAAUACUUUGGGUGCAUUUCUUUUCUCAAAGGACUUGCAAAUUUACAAAGAAGUGUUGAAGAAAAGCCACACAUUGGCAGGUAAUGUUUGCAAAAGACAGAUCUGAUGAAGAACAAUAUUUUUAGAAUAUACAAAGAAUACUUAAAACUCAACAGUAAGAAAAUAACCUGAUUUAAAGCAGGCCAAUGACCUGAACAUCUGUUCACCAAAGAAGAUACACAGAUGCAAGUAUGCAUAUGAAAAGAUGCUUGACAUCAUGUCAUUAGGGAACUGCAAAUUAAAACAAGUAGAUACCACUGCAUACCUAGUAGAAUGACCAAAAUUUAGAACACUGUCAGCACCAAAGGUUGCAAAGAUAUGUAGCAAUAGUAACUUGUUCAUUACUGGUGAGAAUGCAAAAUGUGCAAUCACUUUGGAAGACAGUUUGGUGGUUUCUUACAAAAGUAACCAUACUUUUACCAUAAGAUUCACCAAUCACACUCCUUAGUAUUUAUCCAAAGGAAUUGAAAACUUAUCUCCACACAAAAACCUGCACAUAGAUGUUUAUAGCAGCUUUAUUCAUAAUUUAUCCAAAACUUGGAAACAAGAUGUCUUUCAGUAGGUAAGUGGAUAACUGUGGUACUUCUGAAUAAUGGAAUGUUAUUUAGAGUUAAAAAGAAAUGCAUUCACUUUGGGAGGCCGAAGUGGGUGGAUUGCUUGAGGCCAGGAGUUUGAGACCAGCCUGGUCAACAUGGGAAAACCCCAAUUAGCCGGGCAUAGUGGCGUGAGCCUGUAAUCCCAGCUACUCGGGAGGCUGAGAUAUGAGAAUCGUUUGAACCUGGGAGAUGGAGGUUGCAGUGAGCCAGUGCCACUGCACUUCAGCCUGGGCAACAGAGCAAGACUCCUCUGUCUCAAAAAAAAAAAAAAAAAGAAAGAAAAGAAAAAAGAAAAAGAAAAAGAAAAGAAACGAUCAAGCCAUGAAAACACAUGAAGGAAACUUAAAUGUAUGUUACUAAAAAGCCAACCUGAAAAGACUGCAUACUAUAUGACUCCAACUGAUGCAGGGCAAGCAAGCCAAAAAUUAGGGCUUAGCCCGGGAAGAAUUCAAGGGUGAAGUGGUGGUGUUAGCAACUUUUACUGAAGCAGCAGUGUACAACAGCAGAACAGGUACUGCUCCUUGCUGAGCAGGGCUAACCCAUAAGUAAUGUGCCCAGAGUAGCAGCUCAGGGGCAGUUCUGCAGUAAUAUACCUGCUUUUAGUUAAGUGCAUGUUAAGGGGGAUUAUGCAGAAAUUUCUAGAAAAAGAGUGGUAACUUCGGAGUAGGUACAGAGGAAAGAAGUCGAUAAUGUCCUGUUGUUGCCAUGGCAACGAAAAACUGACAUGGCGCUGGUGGGCGUGUCUUAUGGAGAGGUGCUUUAACCUCGUCCCUGUUUCGGCUAGUCUUCAAUCUGGUCCGGAGUAAAGUCCCUGCCUCCGGAGUUCACUCCUGCUUCCUGCUUCACAACUGUAUGACACUCUAGAAAAGACAGUAACUAUGGACACAGUCAAAAGAUUAGUUGAUAGAAAUUGGGUGACAGGAAGUGUUGAAAAGGCAGAACACAGGAUUUUUAGGGCAGUGAAACUUCUGUGAUACUAUAAUGGUGAAUACAUGACAUUAUACAUUUGUCAAAACCCAUAGAAAGCACAACACCAAGAAUAAACCCUAAUGUAAAUUACAGACUUUCGUUGAUAAUGACGUGUCAAUGUAAGUUCAAUUGUAAUAAAUGUACUACUGUGGUGCUGGAUGUCUAUGGUGGGGGGACAUUUUUGCUUCAAUAGUUACAGUUGAAGUAAAUGUUUGUGUUUCCCACAAUGCAUAUGUAGAAACUCUCACAUUCAAUGUGAUGGUCUUUGGAGGUGGGCUCUUUGGGUGAUAGUUAGGUUUAGUUGAGAUCCUAGCAGAUCGAGUCUUCAUGAUGGGCAUGAUGGGACUGGUCCCUUAUAAGAAAAGACCAGAAAGCUAGCUCUCUCUUUGCCAUGUGAAGACAUAGCAGGAAGGUAGCCAUCUGCAAGCUAGGAAAGGGCCUUCACAAAGAAUCAACUCAGACCUCAGAACAGUGAGAGAUAAAUUGUCGUUGUUUAAGUCACUCAGGCUGUGGUAUUUUGUUUCAGCAGCCCAACCUAAGACUGUUAAUUGGAUUAGAAAUUUCCUUUUGGGGAUGGUGUGUGGCGGGCGGGGGGCGGGGAGUACCUUUGUUAAGCCAUUGGUUUCUUUUUAAAGGUUUUCAAAUUUAUUUGCAUCUAAUUCUUCAAAUUACUCUCAAAAUUAUUCCAGUAUAUAUUCUUUUGUUCCUAUUUUCUUCUGUAUUCUUUAUUAAAAUAGCUAAUGAUUUAUCUAGCAGGACUUAUAUUCUUUCCAUAACUUUCCUGCACCCCAAUUAAUCUCCAAUUUUAUAUUUCUUCUGGCCUUCCUUAUAGUUUCCACAGGUUUAUUUUAUUCAUUUUUUAAAACUUUUAUUUAAUUGUUUAUUUUAUUAUCAUUCUUUCUUAUUCAGCAAUCUAAGUGCUUAGGGAUAUAGAAUUUCCUCUAAGCAGCAUAUGCUAGGCUUUAACAAUGUUAGGGAGGCCUCCCCUUUCUGGGGAAGACCACACUUACAUUAACACAGGACUGUGGGAUGCCAAGAGGUAGAGAAGAGCUUAUGAAUAUCCAGAUUACAUCUUCACUGAUCCUGCACAAAGGUGGGGUUCCUCGGUUACCCACUGGGUCCUAUUACCCAAGUCUGGGUCAGCAUACCGAGACUACGGGUAUAUAGAACAAGUGCAACUGGCGAUAAUCCUUCUGUUGGGGAGAAAAAUCUUUUUUUUCUAUUCAUCUUAGGUUCUCCAUCUGUGGCCCUAUCAAGUAGACUAACAAAAGACAGAUUGACAAGACAGAAACAAAGCAUGUGCAUUGUACAAACACAGGGGAGUACUGAGAUGAAUACUCAAAAGAGGAUUUAGAACUUGGGCUUAUAUAGCAUUUUAAGAAAAGAAUACAUUUUUUAAGUGACAAGGAAGACGAAAAGGACUUUGAGUUUCUAGUGCAGUAAAUUGUGGGAAGGCAACUUUUUCUUUCCCUUUUUUUUUUUUUUUUUUUAAAAAAAAAGACUUCUCUGGUGCUAUGUCCAGGCUGAUAAGAGUCUAAAGUCUCUGGUGACUAACUUUUGUUCUUCCCCGAGUAAGAAGACACCUUCACAAUUUCAUAUCCUGCUUUUAGGCAAAUAGGGAGAGGGCAGAGGUGUUUGUUUGUUUUUAAUCUAUUUUUUUUCUCAAUUGUCUUCAACUCAAAAUACUUCUUAUGCCAAAGAUGGCAUAUUCUGCUACCCUUCACUUACUACUUACAACCCAGCCUCUAU